AUGCUCAGGUAUAUCAUAUAUGGAGAAAAGGCACCUAUCAGCUGUAUUGGUUCUUUCAUAUUUUUGUGCAGUCCUUCUAUUAAUUUUUUCAAACUUUCUGGGUUUAUAUUUGAGCAAGAUAAAUAUAUUCCAUCUCUAUCCCAGUACAGAAUUGAAGCUUCAUCAAAUCUAUCUGGGCGUUCAUUGCGUAAUACAGUGUUGAGAUUGAGAACAUUUUCAGAGGGGAACUUAAGAACUAGGAGGGUGCAGAUAAGUAAGAGUUCUUGGCAGCAGCAACCUACACAUGUGGAAACAGUGGCUAUGGCGGUUCAAAGGGAAGUUGUGGCUGCUAGACAGCAAGUCACAGCUUAG
rnacentral:rRNA from 1 species